CACGUAGGGCGCAAGCGUUGUCCGGAAUUAUUGGGCGUAAAGAGCUCGUAGGCGGUCUGUUGCGUCCGCUGUGAAAACUCGGGGCUUAACCCCGAGCCUGCAGUGGAUACGGGCAGACUAGAGGUAGGUAGGGGAGAAUGGAAUUUCCGGUGUAGCGGUGAAAUGCGUAGAGAUCGGAAGGAACACCAGUGGCGAAGGCGGCUACCUGGCCUAAUACUGACACUGAGGCACGAAAGCGUGGGGAGCAAACAGG
rnacentral:rRNA from 1 species